UUAGUUUUGUUAUCUGGUCAUGUUUUCAAAGUCAAACCAAAAGUGUGUAGCCUGAAAUUUUUUUUAAAUUAGUUUUUACUUAUUUUUGGCUGUGAUAGGUCUUUGUUGCUGUGGGGUCCUUUUCUCUAAUUGCGUUGAGUGGGGGCCACUCUCUAGUUCCAGUGUAUUGGCUUCUCUUUGCAGUGGCUUUUCUUAUUGCUGAGCAAAUGGUUUCAGGGCAUACAGGCUUCAGUAUUUGCCACCGGUGGGCUCAAUAGUUGCAGUUCCCAGGCUCUAAAGCACAAUCUCCAUAAUUGUGACUCACCAGCUUAGUUGCUCUGAGUUAUGUGGGAUUUUCCAUGACCAGGGAUCAAACCGGUGUCUUCUGCAUUGGCAGGAGGAUUCUUUACCACCAAGCCACCAGGGAAGCUCUGGCCUGGAAUUUAACUAAGUGUGUUCUAGACCACUGGCGAUAAUACCUGGGGUUUGCCAGAAGGAAACAGGAGUCUGCAGGCUGGAGCCUUCAGGAUGUAUUUUGAGGCUUCGGGUCUGUGGGCCGAUGGAGGGGGACGAUAAGUAUAAGACCACAGGAAGGGCAGGAAGAGGAUGGGCUCAGAUAUGCUGAGCAUCCAGGUAGCCCAGAGAGAGGCAGAAUCAGGCCCAAAGGCUCCUCCCAAAACCCCACUUCCAGAGGAAGCCAAAACUCACAGGAUUUUGUUAGUUUUUAGAAUCCUGGAAGAAGAAACACCUGGGAGCCUCACUCAGCAAGGAGUUUGGCUGACGCCACCUCCCAAGCGUCCACCACUUCUAGGGCUGCCUCCCCUCCUGCCGUCCCCAGUGAGACUGCGCAGCAACCCGCUUGACCUGGCCACUCCCCCAGCAUUGGAGGACCAGGCUCUGGCCUGUGGCAGUGCAGAGAGGCAGGACCACCCAAGGCCCGAGUGGAGAGUUAACUGCUAGUGCUUAGGCUGCAAGUCUAUCGACUUCUGGGAGGCCAAAGACUUCUAAUGUCUGUCAGGUCCAAGGCUGCAACAACCUGAGCACGCCAUGCCAUCACACCUGGCUUGUUUGUUCCUCUGUGCCAUGCAGGGAAGCAGUGAGGGGCCUAGGAGUUGUCUUGGGAGACUGUUGCUGCCUGUUCCUGGAACCUGUCCCCUGAAGAACAGCCUCAGGCAAUUGCUCUCUCUUCCUGGAAAUUGGUUGGAUUGAGCAUGUGCAGUUGCAAACUUGAGGAUGAAGCUCAUACCCACUCGUGCUAAAAGGAACCUGAGUUGCUGAGAAUUUCAUAGACUGAAACCA